UUCCGCGCUAGCUGCGUAGCGGUGACGGAGCGGCGACGCGCCUCUCCUCCGCAGUGGAUCCGUGUCUCCGGGCUCCGGUCUCGGUGCGGCAGCGGCUCACCUGACCGCGGCACGGCGCUCUGCUCUCGGCUGCCGGAGCUCCGCCGCAGCGGCCCGAACUGGGGGGCGGAUUAGCGGGCCGACGGGCCACUGAGCAACCCGGACUCUAAUACUCACCCUGACGCUGGUCCGGUUCGGUGGUCUGACUGGGAGCAGCUAACCGCCGUCUGCAGCGGCAGAACGGACCCAUCAGCACCGAACCGCAUUAACAGACCCUCUAAUUUUACAAGGAAACGGGAUAAUCAUGGGUUCUGGAGAGUCCGGGUCACAGGUCUGAGUGAUCCGGACUAAAUCAGAACCAAGGUAAUAUUACGGCUGCAGGUACAGCUCUGAGGGAUGGGUCCAUCAGGACUCGGAACCGAGACAAGGUGACCGAACUGACGGGUUUAACACUGGAACAAGGCCGUUCUGCUGCUGCUGCACCUCCAGAACCGCAUGUCCCGAACCUCAGGAGAGCUCGGCUGCAGGUAGAGCCAUCCGGAACCAUGGGAACCCAGGGCCCUGGCCGGAAGAGGAUUCCGAACCGGGACAAGCUGGCUGCGGAGGAGGAUGCGCUGAGCCAGAUAGCGCGAGAGGCUGAGGCCCGGCUGGCAGCGAAGCGAGCCGCCAGAGCCGAGGCCCGGGAGAUCCGGAUGAAGGAGCUGGAGAGGCAACAGAAGGAGCUGUUUCACAGCACCAAGAAGUAUUAUGGUCUGGAUAACAAGUGGGGUCACAUCGAACAGUGGAUGGAGGACAGCGAGCGUUACUCUCGUCUCUCUCGGAGACACACCUCGAUCUCUGAUGAUGAGGAGAGAAUGUCUGUGGGCAGCCGGGGCAGUUACCGGCCCUCGGACUACGGUGGCCUCCUGGCCUCCAGCUCUCGGGCCUCCUCCAGGGCCAGCUCGGCCCGGGCCAGCCCUGUGGUGGAGGAGAGGACGGACCGGGAGUUCACUGACAAGGGCUCCAGGACGGCGUCCACGCUGUCCGCCGCCACACUGGCCUCGCUGGGCGGCGCCUCUUCACGCAGGGGAAGCUGUGACACGUCGUUCUCCGUGGAAACGGAGGCCUCAAUCAGAGAGAUGAAGGACUCACUGGCGGAGGCGGAGGAGAAGUACCGCAGGGCCAUGGUGUCCAACGCUCAGCUGCACAACGACAAGACGGCGCUGAUGUUCCAGGUGGAGAACCUGAUGGAGGAGCUGAGCGACGUGGAGGAGCUGCUGUGGGAGGCCCGGCGCCGCUGGGACGACGCCACCAAGGAGCUGGAGCGUGAGCGCCAGGCCCACAGCGUCCUGAAGGUCCAGUUCAAUCAAACAGAGGAAACUCUGAGGCAAACCAACGAGCUGCUGACGGAAGUGUCUGAUCUGCGUCAGAAGAGCAGCUCCUACCGGCAGGAGAUCUCUGACCUGCAGGAAGCUCUGCAGUGGAAGGAGAAGAAGAUCGCGGCGUUAGAGCGCCACAGAGAAAUCUCUGACAUCGUUCGGAUCGAACGCGACCGGCUCACAGAUGAGGUUGUCCAGCUCCAAGACUCACUGAAGACCCAUGGAGUGGUCAUCUCUCCUGACACCGCUGCCAACGGCGAUGCAGACCAGACUGAAAAGGAAUCUCCCUCCCUCAUGGCUGAGGACUCGCCUCACAGCAGGAGAGAGAGCAUGCUCGGGAAGGCUUCACAGCAGCAGCCAGCAGAUGGCAGCAAAACCCCUCAAAAUGACCCCAAAGACAACAAGAGGUCACUGCCACAGAACAUGAUCUCUGUGAGCGACCAAACCAGACCAUCCAGAGAAAAACAAAGACCAACUGAGAAACAUCCAGGCAGAAACCGACAAACACGGAGCAAGGCAGGUAAAAAGGAUCCGACCAAAAAGCUUCCUGUGAGAGCCGACGGAAAUGAGGCAAACAAGAAACAGCCUAGCAAAGAAGAUCCAGCUCAGAAAGUCUUCAGAUCCAGACUUGUUCCACCGCGAUCUGCUAAAGACAUUAUCCUGGGUUACCGAGCCAUGGUGUUGGGCCUUUCAGCUGCUGUGAAAUUGAACUCUCCAUCUGAGGAGGUGGUAACACAGGACGUCUCUUUGGCUCUGCAAAGCGAAUCGUCUUCCUCUGAAACAAACUUUGAACAAAAGCAUAUGAGUACUUCAGAUCUGGGAUCCCAAAGUCAAGAUGAAGACAGGAAUGUGGAAAAUGAAAUUUCAGGUUUCAGUGAAGAAGAUCCCAGCCUUAAAGCUGCAGCAGAGUCCAUCAAGUCAAAGGUUGAGGCUGCAGGUGGUGAAGAAGGCUCCAUCAGGAGGACAGAAGCCAGUCCAGAAACCAAAGUACAUUUCACAUCUCCUCCUGAGAACCAAAGCACUGGAGAACCACUCCAAAGAGCUGCUCAGGUGCACAAAACUUGCCCUGAAAGCCCAAAGAGAACACCCCCCUUUCCUCCAGAAGAAAUGUGGACCAGUAUGGUGAUGACUGUUCAAGAUUUGCUCCAAGGACUAGAGGAUAAACCAGGGUUUGUAGUAGAAAUUUCAAGAAUCUUCUCAGAAAUCCUGAUGUAUCUCCACCACUGGAUCUCAGAUUUGGAGAACACACUAAGGAACAGAGUAGGACGUGAGUCCUGUCUGAAUGAUGGAGGUGGACAUGAAUCAGUGUGGCCACUGAGGGGAACCAGACUCUCCACGUGGCUUCUGACAAGCCUAGCCAGAGAAACAGCAGAAGGUUCUGGAUGUGAAGAAGAACAUCUGGCUGGAUGUUCUUCAUCACCAAGAGUCAGUUCAGCCAGAGAAAGGAUGGAGGACCCAUCUGGUUCCUCAAGCAGAGUUUGUUCAACUUCUCAUGAUCAUUCUACCACUAAUGACGAAGGAGAGAUGAGGUCUAGAGACGUGCAGCUAAAAGCUGACUCAGAAACCAGUCCACCUGAUUCUCCUCUAAAAACCAUCUCUGGAGAUUUUGUUUUUGUUGACUUGCAUUUUUCUGAAUCUCACAAGACCUCAACAGACUCCAGGUCUGACAGUCAAACUCACGUUCUGACUUCUGUCAAAGACUCAAAGGAGCUUGGAGGAAACCGCAGUUCAUCAGCACACUCCAGUGUUGGACAAAGUUCCUUCGUCAGGAGGUUUAUGGAUGUGACCGCUGAAGAAAUCAAGGCCUUGGCUGUUCCUGAGCUGGCUCUGGUGGGCCUCCAGGAGGGACGGCGGCUGGACCGGUCCAGUGUUGAUUCUACUGAGGAGCUGUCGGUUGGAGACAUGGACAGCUGUGAGGAGGCUGAUGAAGAAGAGGAGGUCCUACUGCUUCCACCACAGCAACAGAACCGAUCCACCAUAGAGGAAGAGGUCCAGGUUAUCGCUCCAUCGAUGGGCACCAUGGAACCAGAAUCAGAACAUGAAGAACCCGGAUUGGACAGCAGGGAAAAUGACAACACAGAUUGCAAGCUUUCAUGAGCUCAGGAGCGCCCUCUGCUGCUGGUUUUCAUGAACAUCUAACACGUUCAUGUUCAAAUGUUUAUGUUAGAAGAAAACAUGUUGACUGGUAGUUUUGGCUAGAGCCAGAAGAAAGCAGAGACUCACAUCAAGAGUUAGGAUAUAGAAAUCUAAAUGUGCUGAGUGACCGUUGAAGGUUUGGAGUGACGGAUAAAGAUGGGGAGUGACCAAUGAAGGAGUGAGUGAUGAAGGUGCGUCAGAUGAGAAGGUAGCUUUGAAUGUGUUGGAAUGACUAAUCUUCUGAAUAUAACAUGUAAGUUCCUACUGAGAAGAUGUGUUCCUGAAAAACAAGAUUAGAAAAGUUUUCAUGUCUGGUAAUAAAUGUUUAUCUGAAUCCUGGAGUUGUUUGUUUUGGUGGUUUUGUUCCAGUCAUCAGUAGAUGAUGUUCUCCACACCUGAAGGGUAAGCUGACUUCCUUCUCCGUGUCUCCAGAUCACAUCAGAAAUCAGGAGAAGUUGAGAUAAAAUGAUUGACAGUUAAUUUUUAAUUGUUAACCAUAGUUAAAGUAAUUAAUUUUCAUUAAAUCAAAUUGGAGAUAAUGAUCACUUCCCCAGCUGAUGAUCUCACCAUGAGGGUCCAAAGCUCCAUCCAGUGAGUCUUAAGCUAAGGAGUGGCAUUCCUCAGAGCUGUGCUGUUGUUGCAGAUGGAGUUCUGACUCUGUGACUGCAGUCGUCCAUCUCACCUCAUGGAGCUUUGACCUUCAGGCUGACCUUCAGGGAUGUCAUUGAUUGUUGCUCUCUGUUUCGUUUCAGAGCUUCGGAUGAAGAAACUGUUUGAUGACAGAGAAGGUUUACGGGAUCAGGUCAGACUUCUCCAGUCUCAGCUGGAUCAGAGGAACGGGGUGGAUGGAGCCCAGAACCCAGAGCAGAAGCCCCAGGAGAACGGCAUAGACCCUCAUCUG